AUAUCUCUCUGUACGGGAAGGAUGAGAAGCUUCGACUAAGGUUCGAUUCGAGCGCAGCGAGAAAGCGUUGCCGCAGGCAACGAC
rnacentral:sRNA from 1 species